AUGUGUUUUAAGCACGAAUGAUUUUCUGUCAAACUUGCAAUCAAUUUGCACGCUUUUCUUUUUUACCAGCAAAGCAGCCGAUACUAACUUUCAAUAAGCAAUCCAUUUAAAUGCAUCACCCGUUUUGGAGUUCAUCAGGUUAUAUAAAAGCAGUGUCAAAUCAAUCUAUUACACCUUUUCCCAACAUAACAGCACUUUCAAUUUCUUUUCAUCAAUCUACGAUACCCUCUAUGCUCGCUGAACUUCGGCAAUGAACUAAAACGGCGCAUCAAUAGCUCGUCAAAAUCCCAUAGGAGACUCAAGAACGCCACGCACAAUCUCUCUUUUCUCUCUCUCGGCCAAUGGUUACUCGAUUUUCAUCCAUCGCUGCUGAUCGGGAAGGCGGCUUCAAAGCAAUCCAAACCACCUCAAGUGAUGAUGUUUUAAAGGAUUAGCGGAUAAGUCAUACCUCAAAGAAGAAAGUUCAGAUGAGGACUUCAGUUUUUUUCGUUCUAAAAACAUGUUUCUUUUGUCAUUUCUGUUAAUUCAUAAUAUUAUCAUAAUGCCUUCAUCUUUUUGACACAAUGGCUCUACGUGCUUGGAUCAUAAUCGGUUCUCAAGUGAUGAUGUUUCAAAGGAUUAGCGGAUAAGUCAUGUUCAAAGAAGAAAGUUCAGGGAAGGCGGCUUCAAAGCAAUCCAAACCACCUCAAGUGAUGAUGUUUUAAAGGAUUAGCGGAUAAGUCAUAUCUCAAAGAAGAAAGUUCAGAUGAGGACUUCAGUUUCUUUUCGUUCUAAAAACAUGUUUCUUUUGUCAUUUCUGUUAAUUCAUAAUAUUAUCAUAAUGCCUUCAUCUUUUUGACACAGUGGCUAUACGUGCUUGGAGCAUAUUGGGUUCUGAUUCAGAUCUUCCAGUGAUGAAAGAAACUGCCAAAGUUUUGAACGACUUUGCCUUAACUCUUUUUGGUAGAGCUUGCAAAAACUGUGGGUUGGGAAGCAGAUCAAAACGAGUAUGUGAAAUCUGUUGGGUCGAUCAGAUAGAUUAUGUGACAUCUGAAUAUUGAGUGACCUAUGAGAGUUGCUCAGAGUUGGUCUAAAUAUGAUGUUCUAAACCGGCACAUAAAGUUAGCUAAGAAGUACACGGGUCAAAUGAUCAAAAGUCAUUAACAUUGUAUCUUCAAGGAUAAGAAAGAAAAGGAACAAAAAAACGAAGCAUGGAAUAAUGAAAUCAUUUAGAUGCAUUUGAACAACGAGCAAGUAGAAAAAAUGUUGUGGCAUUUAGUUUUGUCAAGCAAAGAUAUGUUGUAACUACUUCAAAUAUAGUUGGGUGGGGGGAAAACUGACAAGUAAAAUAAAUCAAGUCAUAAUUGGUUUUGUU
rnacentral:lncRNA from 1 species